rnacentral:rRNA from 1 species
GGGGAAUCUUGCACAAUGGGCGAAAGCCUGAUGCAGCGACGCCGCGUGCGGGAAGAAGGCCCUCGGGUUGUAAACCGCUUUCAGCAGGGACGAGGCGCAAGUGACGGUACCUGCAGAAGAAGCCCCGGCUAACUACGUGCCAGCAGCCGCGGUAAUACGUAGGGGGCGAGCGUUAUCCGGAUUCAUUGGGCGUAAAGCGCGCGUAGGCGGCCCGUUAGGUCGGGAGUCAAAUCCGGGGGCUCAACCCCCGUCCGCUCCCGAUACCGGCGGGCUUGAGUCUGGUAGGGGAAGGUGGAAUUCCAAGUGUAGCGGUGGAAUGCGCAGAUAUUUGGAAGAACACCGGUGGCGAAGGCGGCCUUCUGGGCCACGACUGACGCUGAGGCGCGAAAGCUAGGGGAGCGAAC